UGUGGGAUUUGGGCCUGCGGCGAGGCACAGCGGGUGGAGAGAGACGGCGAUGGGUGGUGUCCAGACCCUGCGAGCUCAGAGCUUGAGAGCUCGGCUGCAGUCUUUCUUCCCCGCGUGCGACAGGCCUCCGGAGCGGUCUGAGGCGUAGGAGCUUGGAAAGCGGGCUGCGAUCUGUAGCCUGGGUGUUAGACGAGCCCUGGCCUUAUUCACGUUGCCGCGCAAGGACAACUCAGUCUCCCGAAGUUAGUCCUUAUUAUUGUAUAGGUGUGCGGAUGAGGGUCUGCCGUGUGUAACCCUCGGCUGUCUGGCGCAGGGAGCUGCACAGAGCGCCACGCGGUAGAGCCUGGGAACAUGAAGCUUGGUAUGGUCCUUAUCUACGCGAAGCGAUGGGGUUGAAGAAUCUGGCUUUGAAAUCUUCAUGGAGGAAUAUGUCAUUUCAAUCCUGAAUCUGGUUCAAUUCCCUUAUUGAUUUAUUACUGUAUUAAAAAAUGUUUUAACCAUGG